GGAAUGACUAGUGAUGAGACAAUUAGAGAUUGCAAGGAGACAGCUGCAUUUUUUCCAGACUGAAGGUGCCUACCUGAGCUAUGCACGAAAGUCACUGGCUAGUGUUGCAUAAACAACUUGCUUCUUCACCUACCUUGAUGCUGACCGUAACUCUGAAAAGGAGGACACACACAGAGUUGGGUGGUGCAGUGCCAGCAGAUUAAUCAACAUGCCACAUUUGAGAAAAGCAUCUCAUCAAAGACUGCUGCAUUUAUUGACAUCCUCAGUCUGCCUGUCUGCUAAUAUAUCAGAACUGCUACUUUGACGCCUGUCUUGAAACAAGAAACCAUGUGCUACUCAAAUGUGUAUUCUUGGAAACCAGACAGCUUAAGUUAUGACCUCCCUAGGUGUGUUGGCAUCUUUUCUGCAGUCAUAUAAUUUUAUGUUUUCUUGUGUCCCUCCUUGGCAUCUACUGGCCUCCAGAACUGAAUUUUGGAGGUCAAGUCCAUUCUAAUCUCCUGACUCUGUCAAAGAUAUUGAU